rnacentral:piRNA from 1 species
UAAGUAAAAGUAGCCUGACUGACCUUG